AUUUUGCUGCCAAGAUAAUGGUCUCUAUUAUGGAUUGAAUGUUAAUGGGCAGUCCUUUACCCCAGACUACACCCAGCCCCUUCUGCAGCUCCACAUUUGAAGGCCUUGUCUAAGUGGCAUCUCAAUGAGAUGGUAAUAGAUACUUGAAUCAGAUGGAGAGGAGCUGUAGUGAUGGGGGUGGGAGGGGAUAGAAGAAGCGUUCAGCUUCUAAUCUUGAAAAGGGAGGACUCGGAACUUGGAGAGGCAAAAAUGAGGAAAUCAUCCAUUAGAGUGCCUCAGCUGUGUAUGAAGUCCUAAAGCCAUUUCUUCCAGUCAAUAAAAGGGAUGCAUUGUGCUGGAGUCUCAAUCAAGUGCCUGGAAGCUGAACGUGAAAAACAGUGCUGCCUGGAUUACAGAGAUACUGGCCAUAAAUGCAUUCGUGGGCUCUCAAGAAGCAUUAGGGAUGCCAUGAAGGAGGGGCAUUUUUACUUUGUGUCCUACCAAAUUCACUUAAUUAUACAUAGCAAUGAGGAAAGUGUGGGAAACAGCAAAUCUGACCUUAGUGUGCCUUUGACUAAUCCAAGCUUAUUGUUUGUGAGUUAAUAUUGUGAAAUGAUCCCCUGUGCAUAUAAUGCAGUCAUCUUCAAAUAAAAAUCUGUGGCUUCAGA